GUCGAACGCUGGCGGCGUGCUUAACACAUGCAAGUCGAACGAAGUGGCGAACGGGUGAGUAACGCGUAAUCAACCUGCCCUUCAGAGGGGGACACCAGUUGGAAACGACUGCUAAUCCCGCAUACUGAAGGAGGGGAUUGCGUCUGAUUAGCUAGUUGGAGGGGUAACGGCCCACCAAGGCGAUGAUCAGUAGCCGGGGUGAGAGGUGGUACGGCCACAUUGGGACGGGGACACGGCCCAGACUCCUACGGGAGGGAGCAGGGGGGAAUCUUACGCAAUGGACGAAAGUCUGACGGAGCAACGCCGCGUGAGUGAUGACGGCCUUCGGGUUGUAAAGCUCUGUUAAUCGGGACGCGGUACCGGAAUAGAAAGCCACGGCUAACUACGUGCCAGCAGCCGCGGUAAUUC
rnacentral:rRNA from 1 species